UACCUUUAAUAUUUCAUAAUCUACAUUGUGGAAAAGAAAGAAGAUGAAGAAGAAUUUCCAAUUAUUUGGUUAUAUUAACAAAUAAUUACAUUCAAGCUUGAAGACUUUAACAUUACACACAAAACUGUGCAAAAUAGAAGAGGAAGAAAGAGCAAAAAAUAGGAUAUCUGAAUCUUAAUCUUAAUGGAAAAAUAUGCAAAACCAAAAACAGGUAAGUGAAGCAUUGGAAUUUGCAGAAGAUACUUAUCUCAAUCACCU